rnacentral:lncRNA from 1 species
ACCACCACCACCUAUGAGACCAGUACAUGAGACUGAUUCAUUCAAGCAUGGUGGAUGAUGUCUAUAAACCCCAAGGCUCCUUACAAGGAAUAAAGCGUCCUCGUCCUCCUGCUGCUUUAGAUUAAAUUAUUGUGUCUCUAUUUUGUAAUCCUUUAUUAUACCUCAUUUUUCACCUUUCACUUCACAUACAAGUUCUUAUUUUGAGUGUCAAUUUUAACUUAUUUUAUUAUUCUACAUAGUGGUUGCUUAUCUUCAACAUGAACAUAUCACAUAUGAUAAUCAUAAUUCAUCAAAUCAAUUGUGACAUCUGUUAUUAGUUUAGAUAAUGAUAUAUCUUAAAUUAGUAAUAAAAAAUUAAAACAUUUAUUUUUAUCAAAUUGAUAUUGAAACGUUUGCAAUGUGUUACAGUUAUUCUGCAAAAUAAAAUCAUUAGUAAAUAGUCUUUAAGAUCAUACUCUUACCCUCGUUCUCUAUCGAUGAAAUGAUCGAAAAUCAACAUUUCUUAUGCAUAAUUUGGUUUCAUGGGAAAUAUUCAUUUACUUCUUGAGGAUUGUUCUCUUUUGAUCGAACUGACAUGCUGUGUCAAUGAUCUACCAACCACCACCAUCUCAACUACUUCUCGCCCAUACUCUUAAUAACUAUCUCUUUGGUACGAAUUGAACAUGUUGUGUCGAUGAUCUACCCCAGGCCAUCACCCGUUGUUGUUUUCACCUAUUGUUUUAAUAAUUGUCUCUAGUUUCAUAGAGUCAGUCUUAUCAUUUAUUGUCUAAGUUUUUCAGAAUAUCACAGUUUUUUUUCUUUACCUAUACAAAUAUAGUAAAUCUUUACCCUUUAAGAAACUAGUUAACACUGAUUUAAAGACAGUUCAAAUUAAUUAAACUUAUCUUCCAGAAAUCUCAACUUAUUUUGUUUAAGUACUUAAACUGUAAGAAGCACAAAAUCUGUAGAAAACAUACUAAUAUGAAAGUUCAAAACUUACAACCAUAAACAGUAUGGGUAAGGAAAUUAAGAAAAAGACCAUACGGCAGUACCAAAGUGAUGGGUUCUAGUAACUAUUAUAUCCAAUCCCGUUAGCCUAUGUAUUAGGAUUUCUUACAAGAGUGAUGUCUUAUAAAUAUUCUGUGUAAUGUGAAUGAUGAGACUAACUUUGGCUGCGUUUUAGCAGUCUCUCUUUCUCAUAUUUACAAUCAAUAACUCUUGAAAUCUACAGCUUCUUUGCUUUCUUGUAUUUUGCAUAAUUAAGCUCUAUCAUGAGCUAUAUAUUUCUAGUUUAAUAAACUCAUUUGAGCAUACAUCUGUCUUGUAAUGAAACUCCUUCAGUAACUCCCCAUGCAUGCGCAUUUGUAUAUAAUUGCAUCAAUACUACUGCAUGCUACUGGUGAAUCCGGGUAUUCCUGCAAAUAUCUAAAGGGGUUUGAAGGGAAUCUCUACCUUCAAUACGGCUGCAAAGGUAUAUUCUCCUAUAUUUUCAUUUGCGACUUUCUUGAUCACGAAAAUCUUGUACUCAGAGUCAUCAUGGGGUUGAAGUCGAAGAUGGUCCCAAUCCCAAGGGUCCCGUUUAUUUUCCACGAUUUUGAAUUUUCAAUAAUAAUAAAUGAGACUUAAUUAGGACUAAGCUAGAAUUUGAGAUCAAGUUCUAUGUCAAUUUUAAAAAACCUUAACCUUCUUUUUUAGCAACACUCCUUAAAAAAGUAGUGGAUUUUGUGUUGCGUUCUAAUUCCUCUCUUUUUCUGUUCCUACUAGACAUCGAUGAAUGCAAAAAUGAGUUUUCGUUCUUGUGGGAAGCAUAAACCUGUAAGAACGUUAUUGGAUCUUUCCGGUGCAAGAAAAAGUAACAGAGUGGAAGACAAUCAUUCUUGGUAAGUUCUUACAGGUUUGGUGCUUCCCACAAGAACGAAAACUCAUUUGGAGCUCAAACUCAAGCUCUGGAAACCAGCCAAAGUAAGAGAAGGGUGGAAUUCUUCUUAGUACAAAGACCUCUAGACUCUGGUGUACAAUCAUCGAAUGCAUCUGCCAAGAUCUUCAAUGAGAAAGAGAUCAAUUUAGAAUAUGAUUAUGGAACAAUGCCCGUUUUGAGCUUAAGCACAAAAGUAUGGAUUUAGGAACCGUAACUAUAGUGACAAAAAAAAAAAAAAAAAAAAGGAACCGUAACUAUUAGGUAUUAUUUGAUUUUUAUUUUGAAAAAAAAUAUUUGUUAGUCUACUGGUAAUAUUGUUCAAAUAUGGUUGCCAUUCAAGAAUUCGAAUAUCUUUUAAUUAUUACCAGAGCCGGUGUCCGCGCUCCGCGCGGAUUACAUAUUUAAUUAAAGUAUGUUAAUAUUUGUGUUAAUAAAUUUCUACACGUUUUCCUGAGAUUAAAACAAUGGUAAAGAGGUGCCACAUGUUUGUAUAGAAAACAAUCAUCAUCUAAGAAUCUUCAUCACAAAAAUGUUUUUUUUUUUGCCAAAGUAUUUAAUUAUUCUUAUAUAUGUCUUCUAGGGGUGAAUGACGAAUCUGUUGAUACAGUUGGGAGCAGAUUUUUUUAUUAAGAACUAAUUGUGGUUUUUUUCAUAAUUUGUAUUUUUAAAUAAAAAACAUAUUUUACUAAUAAUGUUUAUAUUUGUUUUAUUAGAGUUUUGUAACUAUAAAAUGAAUACUAACAUCUUUAUUUAGUACUUAUAUAAAAUUAUAUAGAGAUAGAUUAUUAAUUUAUGAUUAUGAUGAGAGUAUAUAUUAAUUUGGAACAAAUAUUAAGCAACUCAAUUAGAUUCUUGCAACCCGGAGGAAAAGGAGUGGCCGGUCAUGUCGUCUGUAUUUUUACCUUUUCCCAAGUUUUUAAAACGUUUCGUAGCAAUAAACAAAAAUCAAAACGUAGCAUUUCAUUUACAUAUUUGGAAUCUUAUCAAAUAAGAUGUAACUUUUCUUUUUUUUGUGCGCUUCAAAUUUAAUAAGAUGUAAAUAGUCAAAAAUAUAAAAAAAUUAAAUAUAUAUAAAACAUAAUUUGUAUUUUAUAUUUGUUUUAUUAGAGUUUUGGAUUAAAGUAUUAAAUUAAUAUAUCAAUACUAAUAAAGUUUUUGAUUCAAAAAUGUACUUGUAAAUUCAAAAUACCUCCCAUUAGCGGAGGAUCUUUGGCGGUUGGUUUGACCAUGGUAUUGAGGAACAAUCGAUCCUUAAACAAAGGAAAGAAUAUUUAAAUGUUAGGCAAAGUGAAAUGGUUUGAUAAUAACACAUAGUGAAAAAGGUCCCAAUGGAUAAAAUCGAACCAUAAGAUUAAUUACAAACUAAAAUCUUAUAAAGCCAAAAAAAAACUAAAUAUUUUAUAUGACCGAUAGAUGUGAACUACAAUUGUAGUAGCUUAGCAGGCAGGAACUAUUAUAUUAUUAAAUCAAUUUUUUUUUGGCGGAGACCAAUAGCUAAAGACGGAAGAUUGUCGGUCUAUGUUUAAUCUUAACCAACUAAAAUCUUAUACGUUUGUUCGCACAGAUUAUCAAUAUGAAUCUAUUAUUAAAACAAUUGAAAAUAAACAGUGAAAAGUGAACCAAACCUCACGUCCCCAACCGCAUACGGACUUAACUAUCCAACUCUUAAACAUAUCACUUACGCCAAGAAAUUGACAAAAUUGUGACUUUCAAAUAUUGACUUACACAAAAUCUUGAACGGUUGGCGGUGGUGGUUUUUUCAGAGUGAGAGGGAAUGAAUAUAUGGUCUUCAGAUUAGAGUUCUUGAUCCUAAUGGUAGAAUAUAUGUUAUUUAAUUUUCAAUGAAUACAGUAGGCAUUUUUGGCAUGAAAUAUAACGAUUUUCUAAAUUAAAUUAUUCACCAGCUAUAAGAAUAUUAAGUAUGAGGCAAGUUAAAGUUGUAGAAAUCGAUUUUGAUUUAGGAUGGCAAAGAUGUGGUAGCUAGAAGCCUAAUAAUCAACAAUCAAUGCAUGCAUUGUUUUAUUAUGAUGUAACUGGAGUUGAACUUGGUUAAACCGUAACUUUUCACACAUUUUAAUGAUUGUUUUUUUUUUUAAAGCCCAGUCCAGAAUGACAUGGCAUAAUGGUUGGUUCUGAUUAUUUUGCCCAUGUGGCAGGGCUUAGGAAGCUAGGAUUUAGCUCCUUUUAUAUAGUAGGAUUUUGAUUUUUAGUUCAUUAUUGGUUAAUUCUAAUUUCAAAAUUGUGUGUGGCCUUCUGUUCUACAAGAAAAGAGUAAAACGUAACUGAAUAAAAUUAUUUUUAAUAAAAUUACGUACGUGUAACAUACAAAUUAUAAUCGAUCGUAAAGAAAAACUAAACACACAAUACCUACUGUUACAAAGAAAAUAAAAGGAGAAAUAAUAUAUUUUAAAAAAUAAUAACUACGUUAUAGAAACACAUUAUUCCCCAUGUUUCAUUUUAAGUGGUGUUUUAGAAAAAACAUAUUAUUUCAUUUUAAGUGAUGUUUUCAAAUGUUUAUGUAAAAAAUAAAUAUAAUUUGAUGUUUAAGAAUAUUAGUAUUUUAUAGUAUGAUGUUUUAUUGGUUGAAUCACCCGUAGUUAUUAUUGUUGUUAGGCAAACGAAAUAAACUGAAUAAAAGUUUGUAAUUCUUUUAAUUAGUAUGCAAAAAUCUUAAAAAUCAAUUAUUCUGAAACAUAGAAAGUACUAUUGUAAAAUAAAAGAGAAGGUAGAAUGUAUUUCUCAAUUAAAAAAAAACUCAAAAUCUUUUCUUCCACUUAAAGAAAGCCCUUACAAAGUUACAAAUGAUACAGCUACCAAAGUUUCAAAUCAAUUUCGAUAGAGAUAUGAGUUAGGCCGUUUUAUGUUUGUGUUAGGAAACUUUUCACCUCAGUUCCAACAGAUUCUGAAAUUAUAAAUUAUGUGAAAUUGAUAAUUUUGACAACGUCAACGAAAACAGUCCUUGAUAUAAUAAAAACUAACAAAUGGCUUCAACUAAAAAUAUUAUAUGAUAAAUAAAUAAAAUUAAAAAUAAUUAGAAAGACUGUCUUUUCAAAGCCUUCUUGGCAUCCCAAGACGGGCCAAAAGUAAAUCAUUCGAGAGAAAACAAAACACAAAGAAAAAUCUGAUGAAGUUUAACAUGUAGUUUCUGCUACUACUAUUCCAGUAACAUUUACUUGCGUUUAAGAUGUAUCAACCGCUAUUUCCAAGAACUUAAGCAGGUCUUGAUUCGGAUUAAUCCUAUGGUCAAAAUAGUAUAAGAGAUGUUAAUUCAGUCCUAAUUUCUUUCAAUUAAUGGGAAUGCAAAUCAUCAUCUUAUCUAAGCAAUAAGAGGAGAGUUAAUUAGUGGUAACAAAGUAGCAAUGUUCAAAUUCAAGUAACAAACAUACUAAUCAAGUUUAAAGCAUGAAUCCAUGUGUCAGGGCAUUGACAUAAGGUAAUAAGGUGAUCAAGAUUCAAUCUAGAGUGUUCAUGCAACAAUCAAUGAAGUUCUAAUGCAAUCAAGUAUCAGGGCCGGCUUAAGGUUAUGAAUGGCCCUGGACAAAAACAUUUUUUAUGCCUCUUAAUUAAUUAAUUUUAAUAUUAUAAUUAAAAUAUUAUUUAAAAGAAUAUUAAAAUUUUGAAAGUAACUAAAUUUAUUAUUUUCGUUUGCAAUUUUGUAAAAUUUAAAAUUUAGAUUAUUAUAUCACUAAAAUAUUGUCUAAAUUUGACACUAAAUAUCAAAAAAGAAAAAUUUGAGCCUCCUUUUGUUAUAAGAAAAAAUAAAUAUCUGGACCCUUUAUGCUAUGAAAAUUUAGUGGGUUUUAGAUAUACCCUGGACGGAUAGACCGUUUGCCCUCCUCAUUAAGCCUGUUCUGUCAAGUAUGCGAUUAACAAGUCUAUUAACUUUAUAAGUUUUUCUAACAUUAAAUCCAUUUGGUUAAACAAGUAAAAAGUAUUUUCAUCGAUCUUGGACGAGCACAUUUCUUGGAUGCUGGCAGUGAAGGUUGGACGCUGAAGUCGGCCGCUGGACGUCCGAUUCCCUUUGAGAAGUAAGUGGUCGGCCAGUGGUUGGUAUGGGCGGAGGUUUGUAAGCUGGGAUCGUCAGGACUUGCCAAGUGCUUCAUUUCUGCUCCUCUCUAGUGUUUCAAUGUAACCACUUCAAAUCCUAUAUCACAGAAAUGCACAUGCAUAAACGAUGAUUAUAAACAAUUAAAAUGCAACACAUCAGUAACCUACGGGAUUUGACAUUUCAAAUAAAUAUAACAAACUUGAUAGCUAUUGUAGAAAAAAAAAAAACAGAAAGAGAAAUAUAAGAUAGUUUCUAUGUUGCUACUAUUCUAGUUACGUAACCUAUAGAAUUGACAUUUCAAAUAUAUUCAAGAAUUUAAAAUUUUCAUGAGACAAUAAUAUAAAAAAGGUUGAUUUCGAUGUUCCCUUCGUAUGUUUUAGUAUCCGUAUAGCUGUUGACUAUUAUUUAAAUAUGUAUAGUAUUCAUAGUCUUAAGUCAUAUAUAUAUAUAUAUAUAAUAUAUAUAUAUAUAUAUAUAUAUAUAUAGACUUAAGACUAUGAAUACUAUACAUAUUUAAAUAAAUAGUCAUUUUCAUAAAAUAAAAUGCUAUUCUUAAGAAAUACAAUUCGAUCGAAGUUUAAAUAAAUCAAACUAAAAUAAUUAAACUUGGUCAAAAGAAAUAAGAUUACAUAUAAUAACAUUUAUGAUUUUUUUUCAAGUUAAUGAAAUUAAAAUAUAAAAUAAUAAUAUUUAAAUUUAGAUCAAAUAUUAUUUUAAAUCAAAAUAUAAUUAUAUUUAAAACUAUUGUUUAUCCGUAUGGUUGCAAAAUUAUUGUUUAUGCGUAUGGUACAAAAUUAUUAUUUAUGCGUAUGGCGCAGAUAAAUUCUUAGUAUAUAUAAAUGCACAUAUAUAUAUAUAUACAUAUAUAGUCUUGUAUCAAACAAUAAUACAAUAAUAUUUCCUAUUCUAUAAUAUUUUACACAUUUCAUCUCUAAGGUCCAACAGAUUUUGAAAUUGUAAUUAUGAGCAAUUGAUGCUUUUUGACAAAGUGUUAACGAGAAAAUAGUGCAAAUAGACGCGGUAAGGAAUUAGUCCUUCAUAAAAUAGAAGCUAACAAAUUGCUUCAGCUAAUAAUUAUAUAAUAUGAUACACAAAUAUAAAAAAUGAAAGGAUAGACUCUCUUCUCAAAGCCUUCUUGGCACCACAAGACUGGGCAAAUAAUAAUUAAUUCGAGGAAAACAAAAACACAAGCUCCGAUGACCAUUAAAGUAGAAAUAUAAAUGAAUAGGAAAAAAUAUGUAAGAACAAAAUAAAAUAAAUGGAAAAGAAUAUUUAUUUCUUUGUUCCAUAUCAAUUUUGAUAAGAAAUGUUUUUGUUCUAUAGUUCCUUAAAAUUUAAAGAAUGACAAGAAAUCAUACACAGCAAAUAUUUCUCAUAAAUGAUAUAAUUUUUAAGUAAUGAAUAGGAAUUGAUUAUUCUCUUUAGUUCUCUAUGUCAUCAUUUAGACCUAAAGAAAAAACUAAAUUUAAUGAAGAUUAUUUCUGAAAAAAAAAUCUAAUGAGGUUUAAGAUGUAUUUUCUGCUGCAACUACAAUUAAUAAUUUUUUAAAAGUUAUGGUGAUGUAUUAAAUUUCUAAGAAGCCUCUUGAUAAAAAUGCAACAUAAGAAAGGAAAAACUUUACUUAUAAUUGUAUUAAAUAAUAGAAGCAUAAAAUACUUCAAAAUGUUUCUUAAUAUAUAAAAAAGUCAAAUUAUUUUUUCCAUGUAAAGAAAGCCUUUACAAUUGAUACAUCCACCACAGUUUUAACUCAAUUUCGAUAGAGAUAUUAGUUAGGCAGUCUUUUUGUUUUUGUUAGGAAACAUUUCAUCUUCCAACAGAUUCUGAAAUCAUAAAUUAUGAGAAAUUGAUAUGUUUGACAAAGUAAACGAAAAAUAGUCCUUGAUAAAAUAGAAGCUACGUUUAACUAUAAAUAAAUAAAAAUUAAAAGACUUUGUCUUUUCAAAGCCUACUUGGCACACAAGACGGGCCAAAGUUAGGUAAGUAUUUGGAAAGAAACAAAACACAUGAAAAACUUGAUGAAGUUUAAGAUGUAUUUUCUGCUGCGAGUCUGCGACUGUUCGAGUAACGCCACUUUCUUGGCGCUACAAGACUGUUCAAAAGUUAGUCAUCCGAGAGAAAACAAAACCCAAAGAAAAAGUUUAAGAUGUAUCUUCUGCUACUACUAUUCCAAGAACGUAACCUGUGGGAUUGUCAUUUCAAUUAUAACAAACUUGAUAACUAUUGUAGUAAGGAAAUAUAAUUAUAUUUAAGAUGGUUUCUCAGUUGCUACUAUUCUAGGCGUCGCCUAUAAAACUGACUUUACAAAUAUACUCAAAAGUUAAAACUGUUAAAAGAAAAAUAAUUCAAAAUGCUUACUUUGAGUCACCCUUGGACCCUUCGUAUAAGAUCGUCUCGCUGUUGAGAUUGCAGUUUAAGUCGCAUAAUUGUAAUUUAAAUGUAAUUCUAAACAUAAUUGUUUGUUAGUUUCUAUUUAUUUUAAUUGGUAUUUUUCUUUCAUAUAAGCUUACUAUUAAAAACACAGUUACCUUUUGCGCUUAAGGUUAAUAGUAACAACACUUAUCCGAAAAUAAUUUAUAGUAAAAAGGUAGAAUUUUUUUCUCACAUUCAAACACAGUUUAAGUAUAUUAUUUUUUUGUAAAGAAAUAUAAGUACAUAAAUUGGCAUUUGAAACGACCCAAUGGAAACAAAAUAUUUUUUCCAAGAAAACUAUAUAGUUGAAAGGUGUUACAACUUAAUUAGCAUUGUUAUUUUUCUCUACUCAUUCACAUCUGGUAUACAUAUUUUAUCAUAAAAAUCUACUUUCGACCUAUAUAAAAAGUACAACCAAAAGUCUAUAAAUACUGGCUUUCAAAGUUCAUAAGUCAUCACUUCUUAAGUCUUAUAACCAAAAGAAGAGAGAAAAAUGGCUUCAUCAAAUCUAUUAGCGAUUAAGCUUUUUUCAUUCAUGGUGCUAUUCGCAAUAUCCCAUGCUCAAUCCUUUUCUCCAGGUACGUUAUAUACAUAAACAUAACUUAAUCUUAACACAUAUAAUGAAAUAAUACCAGAGCUAUUGUUAUAAGUAUAUUAUAAUUACAUAUUUAUAUAUCACUAUUUUGUAUAUCAAUAGUAGUGGAGGUUCCAACCUUCGGUUACAUGUAUAAAUUAUAAAGACACCCGAUUUUUUUGGUUAAAAUGUUAAGAGACACCCGAUUUUUUUUUAAAGACACGCGAUUUAUAUAUAUACAGGUCGGAAAAUAUUGCAGUACAUUCCUACUACGAAGUAUCCCCCGGAGCUGCCACCGGCGUACUCUCCUACUCCGGAGCUGCCACCAUCGUACACUCCAACUCCGGAGUUUCCACCGUCGUACAAUCUUGCUCCGGAGCUCCCUCCGUCGUACUUUCCUACUUCGAAGUUCCCAUCAUCGUACACUCCAACGCCGGAGCUUCCACCAUCGUACACUCCAACUCCAGAGCUGCCACCAUCAUACACUCCAAGUCCGAAGUCACCACCACCGUCGUACAAUCCUACUCCUGAGUUCCCUCCAUCGUACUCUCCAACUCCGGAGCUGACACCAUCGUACAUGCCUACGCCAGAGCUUCCUCCGCCGUAUUUUUCUGCUCCUCCACCAGCGCCCUAUUAGUCCAAAUUAUGGCGGUCCAUGCAUGAGAAUUUAAAGUUGGUCACACACACUAUCACACAUGAAAUAAACAAGGAUAUUGCUUUUACAAUUAUCAAAAAAAAAAAAAUACUGUAUACUUCAUUUUGAUCACCCUUUGCUAGCGAAUAAAAAAUGUUACUCGAUGAUGUUUACCGUUUUUUCUGAUUUGUAUAAGGUUAGAGCAACUCUAUUGGUAAGAUACUAUUUUCAAAAAUGUUAAUCAAUAAAAUAUUAAAAAUUUAAGUUAAUUUAAUCAUGUUAUUAAAUUGAAGGACACAAACAAAAUUUAAACUAUGUAUAAGUAGAUAUGUAUUUGAGGACCUCUAUAGUAGAUAUUUCAAAUGGACAUAUAUACAUGAAUGUAAAAGAAAAAUAACUAAUAUGAAGAGAGAAAAAGAAAAAUAAGCUUUCUUCUGUGACUUAGAAAAAAGAUUUAUGGAAAAUUCAUAGAAACAUUUGUGUCUUUCUGAAUGGAGUAAAUUUUAACGAAAACUUAGGCAUAUAACUAAAUUAUAUUAAAAUAUUAAUAUUAUUUUGCUUGAGAAUUUUUAGAAGGUCCUAAAAAGUACUGAAGUUCUUACGAGAGUUUUCUAUGGAGUUUCCAGAUUUGUUAAAAUGAGAAAUUUAUUUCAUUUUUUUUUCAUUUCCAUAUUUAUUUAUAUUAUCAAGAAUACUUAAUUAAAAAUUAAUACCACCAAUAUUGUGGAUACUUUCAUCUAUUAACUUGAAUUUUAUAAUGGAAAAUAAUGGAAAAGUUCAAUAAAAAAAACUGCAACUAAUACCCGAAUUUUUUUGCUAUCUAAUUUAAUACCUCAACUAAUUAUUUUAUUCAUUUUAAUACACUAAUUUUUAAGGUGUACUUUUAGUACUGUAAUUAUGCUUAUCUCAAUCAAAUAUUGAUAAAUUUUAGGGAAAAUUUGGAUAAAUGCACUUCCAUGAGAAUAUAAUUUGAAAAAUACACCUUUGUUUAAACUUUUUGAAAAAUACACUUACUUAUAUAUAAAUUUACCAAAUUGCCCAAUCUUAAUAUUUUUGAAUUUCUAUUAAACAAUUUUUUAAAAAGAAAAUCGUUAGAGAAUAGGGAAUAUCUUUUUAAUAUACUACACAAUAUCCUUCCCAUAUCUUUUUAAUAUAUCUUAAAUUUAUUUUUUUAUUAUUUUGAAAAAACCCACCGAAUAAUGUGUUUUGGCGGCUACUUUUGAUGUUCAGUCUAUAAAUCAACAUGAGUUUCAGGUUAGUGAUGGGUCAAGAAAUUACUUGGUUGAUCUUCAACAAAUGAAUUGCACAUGUAAUGUGUUUAAUGUUGACAAGAUCCCUUGUAAGCAUGAUGCUAAGGCUGCAACAAGUCGAGGCUUUAACCCUGGGUUAUUUGUGCAUCAGUAAUACUCAAAGGCACACAUGUGUGCUGCAUAUUCAGAGAGUAUAAGACCCAUAGAUGAGUUGCUGGAAGCGAGUGAAAUACCUCCUCAUGUUGUGGCUUAUAAAUGCUUUCCUCCAGAUGUUAAAAGAGGUGCUGGAAGACCUGUGAAAAGAAGAUAUGAAUGCUUUGGAGAACAAGCAACAGCUCAAAAAAAAGCACGAAAACAAGCUUGCUCAAGAUGUCAUCGUUCAGGACACAAUCGUGCCAGCUGCGACUUUGGAAUUUGACAUUUUUCUGUUCUAAACGUUUUUCUUAAAAUUUUGGCUUUUGGUUAUUCUAGCUUUUGAUAACUGUUUAAGUUUUUAUUUUGCAAUAAGGUUGAUUAUUUUCACAACAUAUGUUAUGUUUUCCAUUUGUUCUACACCUUUAAAGAGCUAUGAUUCUGUUCAAGUUCGAUGUAAGUGUCGUUUAUGCGGCUCAAUGGACACCUUAUGUUUUUUCUUCCUUCAUGAUGAAUACAAAUUUGAUUAAUGAAGAAAGAAAAGAAUAUGUAGAAACAAAUGUGACUUGCUUUUGUUUUUAACAACGUGACUUGUUAUAUAAGUUGAAGAAAAUAAAAUAAAGGGAAAUUUGUAUAAACUUCAUGAUAAAGUCAAAACAAGUCAUAUUUCACAUAAUCAUCUUUGUUAUUGUAAAAUUUAAAUGGUAACAUAACAUAUUUAUCUCAAUAUACAUAUUUAUCUUAAACAUAAAUAAUUUUAAUGAUAUUAUUUUUAUUAAUUUCGAAUUUAUAUAUUAGUUUCGAAUUAUAUCUUGGGCAAAAAAGUCAAUUCAUAAUUAAGAAAGUGUAUUUUUCAAAAGGUAAAACAGAAAAUGCAAUUAUCAAAUUUCAAAUCCUAAAUAUGGUAUUUUGCAAAUUAUCCCUAAAUUUUAACAAAAUUUUAAAAUAUCUCAAACUAAAAAAUCUUUACAAAGUCUAAUUUAAAUGUAAAUUUUAGAAAUAAAAAUAACUAAAUUUGGGAUAAAAUACUAAAAUUUAGAAAAACUUAAUUUUGAAUGAAAGAUAAAUAAAUUAGUAUUUAGUUUCGUAGAAUAAACUAAAUUUUAUAUUGAAAAUAAAAUUAAAAAUCAAGUAUGUAAGGUUAUCCACAAUUUAUUUUCUUUUAUUCUUAAAAUUUAAAUAAAAUUAAAAAACUUUUAAUAUUAAUUUUUAAAUGUUAGAUAUUUUUUAACUUUUGUUUAAAACUUAUCAAUAUUUUUAAUUAAAAUAAAAUAGUUUGAGUAUUAAAUGAACAUAGUUUUAAAAUUUAAUGUAUUGAAAUGACCAAAAAGAUCAUUUGAAUUAUUAAAUUGGAUAGCAAAAAAAAAAUAUUAAAGAGUUUAGCAAAAUUUAGUUGAAGCGUAUAGAGAGUAAAUAAAAACUACGAGUUAAUUAACCUUAAUGUUUCAUUAAUAAAUGAGUUAAGACAUAUAAAUGGAACAGUUUUCUUGUGGGACCCUAAGCUUGAAUAAUUGAUUAAGCUAGAAUAAGCAUCUCAGUGUCAAGGAUUACUCAUUAAUCAUAUUUAGUUAACAACCUUAGUCCAUAUGGUCCAUGUUUUUAAUAUUUGAUCAAAUCUUGUUUGUUUUUGUUUAGGUUUAUUUUUACGAUGACUUUUUCUCUUUGCGUGAAUUUGUGAAUUAAUCAAGUUCUCAAUAUUCAUUAAGAAUAUAUCACCUAUAAUUGGAAAAUGAAGUGAAUAACUAAAAUCACAGUUUUUCACUUUUUACCUUUCGCACCAUAAACAUAAUUCUCACUAUAAAAAAGAAAGGUUGUUUUACCAUUUGACUAUUACUCUGUUUAUUAAUAUAGUUUAGAUACAUAAUAUUAUUCUAUAAAGAACAUAUAUUGAUAGUUUUUAAAUAGAAUUAAAUUAGACUGAGUAAUAUAUGAAAUUUAUGUGUAGAAAACACUUAUAGACUUAUGAUAGAAAAUACAUUCUAAGUUUUCAAAAUUUGUUUUUUUUUUAAAUUAGUAUAGAAUUGGUAAAAAAUAGUAUAGAUUUACGAUAGAAAUUAUAAGAAAAAAAUAUAUGAUUGUGAAGAAAAUAUCAACAUAUAUAAUAGAACGAUAGUAUAUCCUAUAUAUUAUAAAACAAUUACUAAUUAUAUUUUUAAUAUUUUUUUAAAAAAGACAUUUGAUUAAAAAAAUUCAAAUUAUGUUAUAUGUACCGAAAGAUUAUACUCUUUCAGUUGAAUUUUCAAACUGGUUUAUUGUAUAGUUUAAAAACAUUUAAGAAAUAAAAGUGAAGAAAAAAAAUUAUCUCAUUAAAGGCAUUGUACUCGCAAACUCUGGAAAUGUAGAAAUUAUUGUCACCAAUUAUGACUUACAUAACUCAUAUUUUAUGUUUAUCAAUAUUUACAUUUGUAAAAAUUUAUAUUCUAACGUUUUAACCUAGUGGGGUCUAAAUCAAUUGAAGCCUCCAAAAACCAUAUUGAAAGUUUUGCGGUUGGUCUAACAUUCAUUAUUGAAUUGGUACAUUUAUCUACAUUCUGAGAAUCUUUAUUUUGUAUAAAUAACAUGUUGUGUUCUAUAUUUUCAUUCACAACGCUGAAUCAUUGUAAGAUGUGGAUGCAAUAGAAAUUAUAAUGAUUCAGCGUUGUGAAUGAAAAUAUAGAACACAACAUGUUAUUUAUAUAUGGAAAUAUCUCAAGAUCCAAUCAUAGGUGUUUAUCAGUCGUUCGACCAAUUCUGGUCUCGUGUGGCAGCUGCUUACGAAAACGGAAAAGAUGCAAGUUGGAGUGAACGUACAAAGAAGUCUAUCCAUUGUCGGAUUCAAACUAUUGAGAAAUCAACAAAGAAAUUGCAUGCAUGCAUCAAGCAAUGUGAAAACAAAUGUCAAAGUGGUGCUUCAAAUGAUGACAUUGUAAGUGUUUUUUUUUAGUUUGUGUAAUAUAUAUUUUACUUACUUUGCAAUAAUGUUUUCUGUUUUAAAAUGAUAUGCAGUUUAAACAAGGCAAGUUAAUGUUAUUGGAUGAUCCAAAAUACAAAGUAGGUUGGAAGUUCGAUCAUGUAUGGAGCAUUAUAAAUAAUUUUGAAAAGUUUAAAGAUGGUGACACAUCUACGAGAAAAGUAUCAAACUCAUGUGGUUUCGGGGAUACAAAUCCAGAGUUAGAAAUAGUUACAUCUGAUCCUGUUACACAAAAAUCUCCAGGUUUGUCUAUUUUUUUCUAUGAAUUUAGAUGAUGAAGAAGAUAGAAUGGGUGGAUCUUUGUCUAAUUUGAGAAAACAAGCUUACAAAGACAUCAACAUUUGAGAUCCAAAACAAGAAUUAUGCUUUGAAGAAAUCUAAAGAAGAGAACUAAAUUUUAUUUCGUGAUUUGAACUUCAUACAAGAUCGUAACGUUUGUGCAUACAUUCAAUCUGAGCAAAAUCGAAUUUUAGUAGAAAUGAGUGAACAACAACAAGCUCAACAGUCUUCUCAAGUAUCCACUUCAUUUGGACAAUAUUUUAACAAACUUAGUGGAUCUGAAAAUGGUUUAUCAGAUUAUCAAGUGUUAGUUUAUAAUGUACUAAGUUUUUUUUUUUUAGUUUGAUGUUUAUCAAGUCUUUCUGUUUUUAUAUUAUUUAUGUAAUUGUGUUUCAUCUAAAAUAUAGUAAAAAAAAAGAAAAACAUGUUUUUAGCAUAUUUUUAAUAUUUUAAAUUGAUUGAAUAAAAACAAUAAUAAAAACUUUAAAAGUAAGUUGGUAAUAUUAGUUCUUAUAGUUUAUUUAAGUACAAAAGAAGAACAAGUUAAAAUUAAGGGAUUAAUUUGUAAUUAAAAAAAUGUUAUCUCAAAAAAUGAAACAUUAACGGAGCAAAAAAUGAAGCAAAAAAAUAAAAAAUGAAACACCAUGUUCUUUUGCCGUAUUAGUUUAUUUUAUUAUGCUAUUGCAACUUAAUAAUGUCUUGUACGUUUGGGUCUUGUUUAAAAUUUAAUUUAUUUUAUUCGAUAUUUAAAGAUAUACUUUUCUUGUGUUUGCUUCGAUGUGAACAGUAAACAUAAAUAUCAUUAUGAUAAUUGACAACAUACAUUUUUUGUUUUGACAAUAUACAUUUUACAUAACAAACUAUAGUGGUUACCAACUUACCAGUAAUUGAAAUCGCACAAUUCGAAUCUUAUUUCCCUCAACCUCAGGGUAAAAUCGCACCAUAUUAUAACAUAGAUCUCAUAAACGUUCCAUAUAUGUAUUUAUACAUAGAUAACCUAAACCAAAUGAGAAGGCACCACAAACACAGGCACAAACAUCAGCGAGCAAGCUUUUAACUCUCAAGAUUCAUGUGGCCAAAUUGGAACUUUGAUGGCGAAAUCUUCUUUUCCUUUUAUCCGUUGGACCGCAGCCAGGUGGAUUGAAGCAACUCGGAGGAACAGGAGCGUACGAAGGACCGGUGUAGGCUUGGGCCGGGGAAUCUUGAAAGAACUUCCCAUCUGAGUUCAUAUCCAGAUAUCCAAAUUAACCAUAUUAAUAACAAUAGUAAUAAUACUACUGAUGCGAAAUAAUGAAAUACGGAGAUGUAACUAAUAUUCAUAUAUAUAUAGUUUUAAAACACCUUAGAUUUCAUAAUAUGAAAACGUACCUGGAGAAAAGGUUUGAGCAUGGGCGAUUAUGAAAAGCGCCAAGAAUGAGAGAAGCAUAACCACAUAGAGCUUCGAUGAUAUUGGCAUCUUAGUCAUUUAUCUCUCUUAUUUUUUAUCUUACAGGACUUGAAAAGUGAUUGGUAUUUAUAGACUCUAGAAUAUGGGGUUUAAAACACAUUUUAAUAUCAUCAGGCUCAGAAGCUCAGGCCAUUAUAUACCCAAGAGUCAAGAGAACCGGACAAAAUAUGAUUAAACCUAAUCCUAGUUCAGUCAAAAAAUUUAAAGAUGUUAUUCAUUAAUAACUAAAAUUUAAUUAUUUUAUUUUCUCAUCUGAAAACACGCUUUUAAGGGGAAGUUUAAUCACAAAUUAAAUCCAAUACUAGAAAGACUGUAACUUUUUUUUUUGGGUCAAAGAAAGACUGUAACUAAGUUCCUAUUACUAACAUCUAUUAAUAAAACAAAGAAUUAUUUGUAGUCACUAGUCAUCACCGGAAGAUGCCAUUUUCAAGCGUGUACCUAAUAUUUAUUUUGAAUUGUAUUUUACAGAAAUCACCAGUUUUGUGUGUUUUCGAGUGGACAUGGUCUAGACGCGUUAAUGACUACUCUUGAAGCUUAUCUCCAAUGUACAGUACACAAAAUGCUUGUUUCCAUAUUGAUUUCUUAAGGAACAUACUUUGUCUUGAUCAAAUUUUCUUAGGAAAGCGACGUAUUGUCAGUAUCAGGCAAAGAAAAUUAUGCGAAUACAAUCAUCAACAGAAAUCAAAGCCAAGGAGGGAUAAAAAAAUAUAAGCCAUAAGUUUAUCUACCGCUAAAAUAGUACGACUCCUUUACUAGGGAGUGACUGGUAAAAAUUGGUGUAAACUGGAGUAUAAACUGGAAUAUAAACUGGAGUAAUGAUAAUGGAGUAAAUUAGUGAAAAAAGUAGAGUAAAUUGGUGAAAAAUGGUAAAAAAAACAAGAUAAUAAAACAAAAAUAAAAGUUAGUGGCAACGAAAAUUUCCCUUUUCAAAACGACGACGGAAUAAAAAGGUUACCUUAAUCUUUAUUUAAACAGUAACUAGCGUAAAUGAAUAAAAAUAUAAUUAAUUUUUUUGUUUCACCUAACUGGUAAACAUAUCAGCAGAACUGAGAGGAAAAUGUUUCUCGCUGAAUUAUUAUCCCUAAAAUUGAGAUACAGUCAUACUCUAUAUGUUACACUUCUCUAAAAAAAUUUUUAUCAUCCAACGCUAUGGUUAUUAUGUAAUAACGUUGCUAGUCCAGAACAUCAAUUAUGGAGAAAGACCAUGUAUAAUUAUCAAGUUUAAAAUAACUCCAUUGCAUACCAAGUUUAUUGUUAGAUUACUUUAAUCCACCAAAUAAAUUCAGUUGCUCGUAAUUGAUUUUCAAAAUUAUAUAUAUAACAUAUAUUCUCGAUAUUUACAAAACAAAAUAUUGAAAAGGAAGCAAAGACAAAAAUGUCUGAAUUUUCGGAUUUAUUGUUCUUGUAAAAUUUUGAAAUUUUCGAAGGACCUACAAAGCAACCAUAUGAUAUUUAACUGCGUGACCCAAUAAAUAAAAGUAGGACUACCUGAAUCUAUCUGAUUAAGUUCUAAUUAAUACUAGAGAUUGACCCGCACGUCCGUGCGGGUGUUAAUUUUUACUUUCUUAUAAAUCGAUAUUUUAUUUUUAUGAUUAGUAUUAUAUAUUUUAUAUGUGUCAUAAUCUCUAUAAUAUUAUUUGAGAAGUCAGUUUCCUAUGUGUCACUCUCAUAUUAACUUUCACGAUGGUUGAUUACACUGAUACCCUUAAUGAAUUAAUAAUAUUAAAUAUUAUUAUUUAUUUUUUUAUUUAGUUUCCUUUUAAAAAAAUUCCAAAAACAUAUACAUAUAAUAAAAAAGGAAUUGUUUUAUAAAGUUAAAAGAAAUAUUGAAAACAAAAAUAUAUGUAUAUAUAAUAUGAUUUCAAAAAAAGCAAAGUUCACAAAAUAGUAAUAUUACAUUUUUAAAAAUAUUUUUAAAUAACACAAAAUAUAGUUUUGAAGUAAUAAAAUACUCUAUAUAUAUCUAUAUUUUCUUAGAUGAAAAACAUAAAUUUGUAUAUAAUGUGAUUUUAUUAAAAAAAAAAUUACACAGAUAAUCUUGAUAUUAGAAAAAGAAAUAACAUUUCUUUCAAAACAUAAUUCUAAACAAUACAAAAAAAAAUCAAACUAAUUGAAGUAUUUUUAUAUAUCUAUAUAUUUUCUUAGAAGAUUACACAAAAUAAUUGAGAAAAAUAAAUUGAUAUAUGUUUAAUUGACUAAAAAUAGUUUAUAAUUAAUAUUAUUGAUGUGUUUUAUUUAUUUUUCAUAUAUUUUGUUGACUAUAAUAGCUUCCAAUUACAUCAAAAACAAUAUCGAUAAAUUAUAUUUUACUUAUAUAAUAUUAUUUUCAAAUAAAAUUACAACUUUGUUUAGUGCUUAUUUUUAAGAGAUAUUGAAAACAAAAAAAAUAAAUCAAAUAGUUGCAAAAUAGAUAUAUUAUAUUUUAUCAUUAUUAAAAUUAUUAUUUUUCUUAAUAUUAAAUGUUCUUUUAAAUUUUGUUUGGAACUUAAUAUAACCAUAAUCAAAAUACCAAAGCAAAAUAUGAAUUCUCAUUUUCAAUAUUUUUUAAAAUAAAUUUUAGUUUCCAUUCAAUAAAUCAAAAGCAUAAAGUUAUUUAGAAUUUACAGAAUAUUUUAAUUAUUGUAAAUAUUAAUAUGUGUUCAUGAGCUUCCAGAAAUGUAUCACCUACUUAUGUAUGUAACUUCCUAUUGAGCAUCACUUGAUUUUAUAAUAUAUUUUUAAAAACAUCAAUAAUUUGAUAAAUAUUAUGAAAAUACAUGCACGUUUAAACGAUAAAUAAAAGUGAUUUGAUUUUACUUGAUUAUAAUAAAAAAUAAAAAUUAUAUCAUUUGAAUUUGAAAGAAUAACAGUAACUCAAUAUACUCACAACAUGAGUGAUUCAACUAAUCUAACUUAUAUCUAAAAUCAUAGAUUUAACUACGAUAAGAAAAUAUAAUUUUAUAAGAAAAAUAAUUUAUUUUAUAAAUAUAAAUCAAAGAACAACUCAAAACAUAUUAAAAUGAAAAUAAAAUAUUAAAAAACUGUUACAAUUUAGUUCUUUUCUAAAAUUUAUAUAUAUGCAUGAGACUUCAGAAUAUUAUCGUUAUAUUAAUUUAUGUAAAUUGGAAUCAGACACUUUAGUUUAUUUUAAUUUUUUUUAUUGUAAGCACAAAAUAAUUAAAGUUAUACAUAAUCUUCAUAAAAUAUAUUUACAUAUUUUAGACAACAACCACCUAAAUGCAAAUAAGAAAUUAAUCAAAAUUUUAAUAUAUUUAGAAUAAAAAAUAUUAUAGUUGAAUUCAGAGAUGCAAUCCAAAUUACGCAAAUGAUAACUAAAUUGACUGUAAAAACAAUAAAACCGAUUAAAUAUAACAUAUAGAAAAUCAUAUGUAUUAUUAAAGUAAUAUAAUAUUAUAAAUAUAAAUGAUGCAUACAAACUAUAAAUUAAUUUAAAAUUAAAACUAAAUAGCAAUCAAUUAUUAUAGUAUAUUUAUUUCAAAAAUAUUUAUACCCGUGCAUGAGCACGGGAAAAUCACCUAGUAUAAUUAAUUGCAUAAGUACUUUUAGAUUUCUAUACAUCAUAAUCGAACCUGAAUCAAAUAGAGUAAUAUGAUUACUUUUGGUUAUUCGGUUAUUUUUAGUUUAAUUUGAAUUCAACAUACCUGAAUUGAAUCGGUUAAUAUUCUUACUUUUCAUACAAAUAUCCGUACCGGCGUCAAAUACAUUAGUUUUUGGAUAUUUGUAGGUUUGUAUAUAUCAAGACUGAAUUCAUCUGGACCCGAUUCGAAACACACAUGAAAAUUUAUAAUACCGAAAUGAAGUCUAGUUUCAAAACUCAAAAAGCAUGAUAACCCACAGAAAUAACUCGUAGCUGAAUAGUUAUCCGAAUGUCCAUGUCUAACCGAUACAUAAGUAAAUAAAAAAAAUUGUUAACCAUUUUGAAUUCUUAUCACAAAUAGAGUGGUUUUAUUCAAAUAUGUCGAAUUAUUAUAGUUAAUAUGUAAAUAAUCCUGGCAAAAUAUUAUAGUAAAUAUAAUUAAUGAGAUAGUUAAAAGGUGAGAAAAUGAAUGUAAAAGAUAAAAUAAAAAAAAAUUGAAAACAAAUAAAUUUUGUUUUUCAUGUCACUAUUAUAUAUCAUAUAUAUGUCAUCAUAUAAUUAAUCAUAUUUUAUAUGUACCAUAAUAUAAGUAAUCAUAUAAUUAAUAUUAUUUUAUACAUACCAUCAUAUAAAUAAUCACAUAUAUUAUAUUUAUAAACUUAAUAUGAAAUAUAAAAACCAUAAUUUAAGUUGAUGUUUUUAAUUAAGUUAUGUAUUGUAUUUUUCUAAUAUAUAGUGAAAAUAUUUUUUAAAUGGUUAUUGGAAAAUAUUUUAGUAAUUUUUUUUAAAAUAUAUAUAUAUAUAUAUUUGAAUCAAUUAUUUAUAUAAAUUAAUUUUAAAUUAUUAUUUUGAUUUGAAUUUUGUAUAGAAAUAAUUAAAAUUGAGAAAAAUGAAUGCAAAAGAUAAAAUAAAAAUUGAAAACAAAUAAAUUUUGUUUUGUACUUCUGUAAUAAAUGAUAUUAACUUAUUUAGUAAAUAUAAUAGAUGAAGGGUUAGAAUUGAUUAACAAUAUAAUAAAAAUCUUUUAAAAAAUCAAUUAAGAUAAGCAAGUAUUAUUUUAUACUGUUAUCCAUGCUUCCAAACAAUUCUCAUUUAUACUACUAUCCAUGUUUCCAAACAAUUCUCAUUUAUACUACUAUCCAAGUUUCCAAACAACUCUCAAAUGUACUUCAGUUUUAAUAAUAUAGAUAUGUCUGUACUGCCACAUCUUCACCACCCUAGUUUCGGGGGGUUGAGUUCUAUUAGUAUAUGUUUGUGUUAAAAAAAAAAAAAAAGACUACCUGAAUCUAUCCAACGAUAUUUAAUACUUUAGUAUUACAUGUAUUUUCAUUUUUGCAUAUGUCAUCACUCAUCAGCUCUGUCGGCAAACCGAGGUCCACUUUGAUCUUUUCUUUUUGUUUUUUUCUUAUUCUUUCUCAUUUCUCCUUUUGUUUAGUGAGCUCCACUAUAGUAACUUUACUUCAGCUAAAUUACAUUAUUUGUAACUUUAUUUCUAGUUUUUGUAUUUCGAUUAUAAUAUAUUCCGACAAUCUAAUGCAAGUAGAUAUGUGUUACUUCAGCUAAAUAUUUCGUUAUUUAAGUGUUUGUUGUCAGUGAAACUGAGCGUAAAUCGUGGUCACUUAUAUUUUAAGUUUAACCGAGCUUUGCGUUAGACGAAAAGAUUGAAUGAACUUAGUUAAUUACUCACAUGUAAGUAUGUAACUUGUGUUGCAAUUUAGUUAAUAACUUGUUUUUUAGAAGUUAACGCAUCCGAUAGAAAAGGAGAUACCUACUCGAUCUUCCCAAAACAAAUUAACAGGAGCGAGGCAGUGGGACUCACGUAGUAUUUUAUUUUGUAAGUUGAAAUUUUCAAACUUGGAAUGGUCCCAUAUCAUCUAUCUUUCCUGUUAUAGUAGUAAAUGCUUCAAUACAUUUUCCCAUUCUUUAUAUGUUUCAUUUUUCUUAUAGUUAAAAAAAAAAUCAUUUCCAUGUUCAAUGUUCCUCAUAUGUCAUUUAAUGUCAACGGAAAUUUAGUACAUAAUUCUUACUAUAUAUAUUAUUCACAUUUACUCUUAGGAAGACUGGUCGGCUAUCAGAUAAUGGAAGAAAUCUGUAUUUAUAUUUCAUAAUAAGUUGACAAAAAAAAAUUCAUAAUAAGUUAAUAAAUUAAUAAAAAUGCAAAGAGGUGUAUAUACGAGGAUAAGAAAAUUAGUCGCUAUAGAAAAUUGACCAAUAAGAAAAUUAUGCGUGAUUUGUGAUCGUUGAUAUCAACCAUAUAUAGUUCAAUGACUGAUUGCUAAACUGAAGUUUAUAAUUGCUAAACUAAAGUUUAUAAUUGCUACAUUUAAUAACGUUUAGAUGUUUCUUUUGUUAGUUCGAAAUUUGUCUCCAUAACUUAUAGUAGUUCUGACUCAAUUGGUUGCAAGGACUCUUUUGGCAGUGGUUGGUUGAGUUCUUGUUCACGAGUUCGAGUUUCUCCUAAAAAGGAACUGUUUCCGUCUGAACAUAUAUCACCAAGCAGCUAAUUACAUAUUGGAAAAGAUUGUAGAACAAAGGUCUUAAUUUUUUUUUGUUAAAGAAAACCCUAAUAUUUUGCUCAUUAACAUCUACUAUACGAAUCCCCUAGAGACCCAUUCAAAAAUAUAAAACAUCCUACCCACUCCCACCUCUAGAAACACACAAUCUGCCUUUAAUCAAUCAAUUCAUAUUUUUAAAGUUCACCAUUAAUUCUUUGUUAGAUUUAAUUAAUUAAUAAUAACUUAUACUAUAGAACAUCAAACUUUCCGUAAGGAUGCUUGCAAAGCAUAUAUAACAAGAAUUCUAAUAAGCAUUGGUUCAUACAACUACUUGAAAAUUAUGGUUAAUUUGUCUUCUUGUUUUGUUCUCCUAUAAAUAAGAAAAUUAUUUUUCUGGAGAGUUGAUGAUACAUGGUGUUGUAGAAACAGAAACUUUAAUAUUUCAGUAUAUAUAUUUGUAUGUAAUUUAUCCUUAUCUGAGUUAAAGUAAUAAAAAUACUUCAAAAAGCUUUAACUACAUGGAGGCAUACCAGUAUAAUUGAAUAACUUUUAAUCUAUGUAAAACAUGUCAUAAUCAACUCCCCGUAUACCAACUUUAUCAACAAAUAGUAUUAUAUAAUAGUUAGUAAGAUUAAUUUUUCUUAUAGUAUCAACCAGUAUCCCCCUUUAUAUUGAAUACUCUCACCUUAAAAUACAAAACACUAAGUUUCUCUAUUUCUUCAUCUUCAUUCUCACUUGUUUUCUGAAAGCAAGCUUUUACAAUAAUGGGCAAUAAACGCAUAGAAGCAAUGAUGAUUAUGGUGAUGAUUAUGAUGGUGUUCUCAUGGAGGAUUUGUGAAGCCGAGAGGUUAAGAAGACACACAGCAUCAUCAUCAAGACCACAAAGAUUUUUCAAGGUGAGAAGACCAAAUCCACUUCAUCAUAAUCAUAACCAUGGCUUCAUUGAUGAUGAUUAUCCUCCAGAAAGUUUCUCAGGGCUUUUACCCAAGACAAUGCCAAUUCCACCUUCUGCUCCUUCCAAGAAACACAAUGUCUAUGGUUUACAGAGUACCAAUUUCCAACGAUAUCCAUGACCUUCGGUCGCCAAGAUACUUACACAUACUAUUAUAUACACACUUAUUUUUAUAACAUAUAAAUCUAGUUAUGUCUAUCUUCUUUCUCCCCUUUGUGUUUCUUUUUUCUUUUACUUUGGUUUUAAAGAAAGUUUUCUAGGAAGAAAUUAUUGUAUUCCAUCGAGAAUAAACAAAAUCAGGUCGGGCUAUUUUUCGAUGCACGCCUACUUAUUUGAACCCUACUUGUAUUAUAGUUUGGAGAAUCAUGUAUCAUAUAUGCAAACUCAUGAUUGAAUCAUUGUAAUGCCUCAUACUAAUGUACCUUCUUUCGUUCUAUCUAGCAAUAAAUUAACACAUACAUAUGUUCUACUUUUUAUUUCUAUUUUAUUUUAAAGUCAAAGCUUUUAAUGCUUGAUUAGCGGUAUAAUGUUUUUUCUGUUAUCAUUAAUCACCAACAAACAUGUAUCAGGAUAUCAUAGAAAACAAAAGAUGUAUAGUAUUUGACCCCCCCCCCCCCCCCCCCCCCCCCCCAAAUAUGUUCAGUACUACUGUUAAUGUUUUUAUAUAGAUCUAGACGAAAUAAAUGUCAUAAUGGCCAACAACAAUUUUUCUUCGGGGUUAUGUACAGACGUGUAACGUGUUACAUGGGACGGAAACUCUGCAGACACUAGUUUUUCUCAUAAAUGAAGUCACAAAUGUAAUGAAGAAAAUAAAUUGAAUGAAGUCACCAUUAAUGAUGCUACGGUGUAUACGUUCUCCGCAUAUCCUAACGGAACUUAGUAAGAAAUAUAUAGUUUUCUUAUAUAGUUUUCUUUUUUUGAAACUUAGGAGAAAUAUAUGGAAAAAGUGCCAAUUUCGACCCCAACUAUUUCAGUCGUGCCAAAUACGACCCGAACAAUUGAUCAGUGCCAAAUACGAUCUCAACUCAAUUAUAAUUCAAAAAAACUACCCGAACUUCUUAAAACGUGCCUAAAUCUACAUUGACUCUAAAAUAAGUUAGUCAACCGUUAACAAGAUAAAACGACGUCGUUUUGAUAUACGAGGAAAAGUGCCAAUUUCGAUCCCAACACUCUAAGUCGUGCCAAAUAAGACCCGAACAAAUGGUCAGUGCCAAAAACGACCUCAACUCAAUUAUAAUUUAAGAAAAAUUAUCCAAUUUUUCUAAAACGUAUCUAAAUCUACAUUAACUCUAACAGAAGUUAAUCAACCUUUAACAAAGAUAAGACGACGUUGUUUUGAUAUAUGUAUUUUUUUGUUAAAUAUGUUCAUUUCGGGAUUCAAAUCCGUGCUGGGAUAUCUUUUUAAAAUGGCACACUAACAACUAGACUAAAAUAAUUUUUUGAAAUAUUAUUACAAAUUGAAAUUCUCCAUUAUAUAAAAUACUAUUCUUCUUCAUCUUAUCCAAUUUAAAACUUUGGUGAUUGCUUUAUAUAUUUUAGUUAUUGUUUAAUUUGUCUAAUAUUUUGUACAACAUAUCAUAGUGAAAGAAAGGUAAAAGGCCUCUUAACAUUUUUGAAUAAAAUAUCAAAAUAUAUAAUAUCAACUUUAGAAACUAAAAAAUUUUCCACUUAAUUUUAAAAAUUAAAAAUAAUUUAUAUAAGAAAAUUGUAUAAAUAAAUUCAAAGUUUUAAGCAUAUUUAAGAUCGUAUAAUAAUAAAUAUUUUAUUAUUUAUAUUUUAGUAAGAUAUAAUUUUAUUAAAGAUAUGAUAAAUAAGAAAAACAUGUUAAUGUAUUUAUAUAAAUCAGAAAAAAUUAUCACCAAAAUUUUAAAUUGGAUAAGAUAAAAAAUAAUAGUAGUUUAUAUAAUUUCAAAUUUGUAAUAGUAUUUUUAAAAAUUACUUUUAUCUAGUUGUUAGUGUGCCCAUUUAAAAGGGUAUCACAACAUGGUUUGAGUUUCGGAAUGAACAUAUUUUAAAAAAAAAAAAGAUAUAUAUAUAUAUAUAUAUAUAUAUGUAUAUAUAAACGACGUCUUCUUAUCUUGUUAACGGUUGAAUAACUUAUGUUAGAGUCAAUGUAGAUUUAUGCAUCUUUUAAGAAGUUCAGGUAGUUUUUCUUAAAUUAUACUUAAGUUGAGGCCGGUUUUGGCACUGCCCAUUUGUUCGGGUCCUAUUUGGCACGACUGAGAGUGUUGGGGUCGAAAUUGGCACUUUUUCUCGUAUAUCAAAACGACGUCGUUUUAUCUUGUUAACGAUUGACUAACUUUUGUUAGAGUCAAUGUAGAUUUAAGCACGUUUUAAGAAGUUCGGGUAGUUUUUUCGAAUUAUAAUUGAAUUGAGGUCGUAUUUGGCACUGAUCAAUUGUUCGGGUCGUAUUUGGCACGACUAAAAUAGUUGGGGUCGAAAUUGGCAUUUUUCCCGAAAUAUAUAGCUGCAUAUAGUGACUGUAUGUACCAUCAUCAUAAACUUUGAGCUGACGUAUGCUUGUUUUCUACUAGUUGUGAUUUGAUUAUCCAACAAUGGCUUUGAAAUUUUGUAUCGCGAGGAAGUAACACAUUUAUUAGCAUCAACGACCAACCAUAAAUCAGUUAUUUUAUUUUUAGCCAAUUAUUGGAGUGCAAGUUUCUUUGGUAUAAUAAAAUUUUUAUUUAUUCAACCUGAUUAAUCGAAAAUUCAGAUUUGAUUACAAAUGCGAUUUGAAAAUUUUCCAGAUCAUUCUAUUACAUUUUAGCUUCAUCCAUCCACAAGACCCGACAGGUUCCACUAGUCCAAUUUUUGAAAUCCUUAGAAAUCGGUUGUCGUUUUCAAACUUUGACGAACACCACAGAAAGACGAAGUUCUCCUUGUGGCCGCGAUGUUGAGAUUUCACAUGUCGUUUCAGGAGUAGCUGGCUACCGAUGGAUUCCUUGGAGCUUGUAAUUUUCAUUAAUUGUCGUUGAAGCACUUAACGGCGAAGAAUAAGGAGGGAGAAUGAUAACAAACCUUAGGGAAAAUGCCACACAUCCACCAAACCGAAGACGGGUUGAGAUGAAGCAUCAAAUAGAAUCGGGAUCUUCAGUUCCUGCAAAAUAAGAUGGGGAUUAACAUGUCAAGACAAUCAAAUAGCCAUCACGACACUGGGAUGGCCAAACCCCGGCCCAACCAUGUCUCCUUGCCAAUCAAAUAACCUUAGUGGUUAGCGUGUUUUGUUUAAUGAGUGUCUAUGCUCAGUUAUUGAAGUAAGUUCGGACUUCGGAUAGAAAAUUUGAAUUUUAAUCAAAUUUCGGUCGCGGCACGACCAAAAUUUUUUAGAUACAGACUAGAUCGCAUCUGACCGAUCAUGUGAAAAAUUUUAUUCGUUGUAUAUUUUUUCUACUGUCUGAUUUUUUUCGUAAAUUUGGUUUUUUAUUCCUACCUUUUUGCAGUGCAUUCCGUAGUCGUCAUAUUGGACACUGAUUAUAUAUCUCAAUCCCUAAACGGAAUGAGGUCGAACAUAAAGUUAGAUUCCUUUUAAGCGAGAAUGGUUAUCAUGGGAGCGUGUCGACCAGGGCUUUCUACAGUGAUAAGAAUCAUUUCUCUGAUGAACUGGUUAACGAAUAUUGCAACUACGGAUUUCUACCCACUUUAUUUAAAGGUGAAUUUCUUUUUUAACCUCUUUUCUCUCCUUUCACUUAUAUUUUUUUAGUGUUACUUAAUAAUAUUGUACAUCUCUGUUGAUAUACCAUGCCAGGGGAUAGAGGUUCGAGGAUUCGCCUGAUGAUAAUAGACAUUGUUUUCUGAGCAGAGACACGUAGCGAUGAACCAGUCUAUGUCCUGGUGAUCUCUAAAGACAUAAAAACUUAGAAGAAGACGCCAAGUUCUCAACUGUUCGUGAGCUUUUGGAAAACACACAGAGAUUUCCAUCUUACCGUUGUACAGCCUGAUACCGUCCUAAGCUUGUGAAUCCGUGGUAGCUGUUCUGAGGUCUCCUCGGCUUCGGUGUUUUGCUUUUAUGAGCCCCCUGUCUAAUAUUUACUUAGACAAUGCCCUUCAUUUUAAGUGAAUUUUGAAGUAUUGCUGUAAGACAAUGACAAGUUGAAAUGGGCUUCGGUCAACAUAUUAGUCAAUCAGUGUUCAUCAAAUACAGACAAAUAAAUAUAAAUAGUGACCCAAAAACAAUGUAAAUAUCUACUAUAAAUUUGUGAAACAAAAAAAGAAUACAAAGAAUGAGAAUGAAAAUAAAAAAUAGUGUAAAGCUCAUGUAUCAUUGAAAAUUGAUGGAUAUUAUUCUUUGAAGGUAUUUUACGCAUAUUAAAAAUCACUUAAAAAUUAUAUGUUAUUCUCUGUUCACACACUAAUUUUUUUUCUCUCUAAUUAAUACACUAAUACAAUGAUGUUAAAAAUGAAUAUUAUUUAUAGUUCUACACUGAAAACACAAAACAACACUUUUUGAACUAAAAAUAAUAUUCUAAAGCGAUAUCUUUUAAGAAAAUGAGUGAGUAGUUGAUAUUUUUGACUUAUAUUAGUCACACAAUUAGGUAACUGCGACAAAGGGUUGUCAUUAGUCUGUUAAUCAGAAAAGUCAAGAUUAUCUCAACAUCAAAAAGUCAAAAGCAAGAAGACCUUUGGUUAUAAGACUUUAAUACUUACUUUAAAGGACUAAUCUUAAUACUAUAAUUUUGUUUUUGUUGCUUAUGUCAUCCGAGAACAGAAGGUCUUUUAUAUAUACCACAUACAUUAAAGGACAUGAAAAAAACAAAGAGUUAAGUUGAACAAUUGAAGAGUUUCCGGACAAACUAAAACUUAAGGGGCAAAAAAAAUACAAACAUUUUAAGGACUACUACUGAGUAACGUCUUCUUCUUCAUCUCUAUCAGUUUGAGAAGCUGUUGGUUUCUCCGACACUCUCACAUUAUAUUUCUCAUACACUUUUUCCCUAUUCUCCGACCACCAUGUCUCAGCUUGAUGUUCUCCAAAUCUUCUUCGGCUGCAAACAAAAAACAAAACCUUUAGCACAUCAAUCACACUUACUAGUAAAAACGUGCAACUCAAGAGCAUUGAGACAAAUGUUAACCUGAACCGGACUCUUCUAAGAUCUCUAGUUCCAUCAUGGAGAGCAACAAGGGUUAUAUACACACCGGGCUCAUACUGUUCUAUCCACUCUGCUUCUACCUGAUCAGUAUUGUUUUCAGCUCCUGUUUGGCUAGAACCAUUGUUAUGGAACUGGAAAGGCUCGUGUCUCUCACUGAUAACUGACCCGCUGCUGCUAAGCCGUGGGUCUGAGGGAUAAGCGGUGUUGUUGUUGUUGUUGUUUCUUUCGCCGGCUCUAGGUGUGUGCUUCGGUGAUUGGAGAUUGGACCAAGAUGCAUUCGCAAAGGUGAAGUCAAAAGGAGCAACUGAAGAUAUAGAAGAGGUCAUUGACUCUGAUCUUGAGGAGUGGAAACCGUUUUCUUCAGGGAAAUGGAAACCGUUCUGGUCUAAUCCGAGUUUGAUGCUCUCACCAGGAGGCAACUUCUCAGCUACAUCCUUGAGCUGCCAAAGAUUAUAUCUUAUUACACAUCAAGCUUCAAUGCAGUUUACAAGUAUAUUAAUAGGCUCGGUUUCAGUUUGUUCGGUCGGGUAUUUUCGGUUUUAGUUAGUUCGGUUCGGCCACAAUCCCACCGAAAAAUCAGUUCGGUUUGGUUUGGCUUUCAGUUAAUUUUGGUUUUAUAUUUUUCGGAAAUAACCUAUUUUUGGGUUUCAAUUAGAUAUCAGUAUAAUUUAAAAAAAAAACUUGGAUAUUUUCAGUCAAAUUUGGUUUGUUGAGUUAUUUUGGUUAUUUUCAGUUAAUUUUUGGAUUUAUUUUGAGAACCACACUCACCAAAACCGAACCAAAAAACCGAAAUAUUUUCAAAAGCUUUCCAAUCCAAACCGAACUCAAAACCGAAAGUGAACCAAAAAAACCAAAAACUAAAUUGUACCUGCGCUAUGAGCGACUUUAUUGCUUCUUUUGCGGCUCUUGAUUUGGCAGAUUCCUCCUCUGCCAAUGCUAAGGCUUCCUGAGUCUUCUUAACCGAGUUCUUGAGCUCUACUUCUUGUAGCUCACACUUCUGUGUCAAGCUGUCCACCUAAACCCAAGGAAAAAAACAAAUAAGAACAUGUAACCAGUGCAGAAGAAGCAAGCAAGCAUGAGUCCCUUUAUGCAUACCUGUGUUCUCAACUUAAUAAUCUCCUGAUUCAAUAUCUCAUUGGUUUUCUUCAUAUUAUCUGCUACACCCACCGGGAAAUAGAUUCCAGAAGUUGAAGGCAUAGGAGUAGCAGAGCGUGGAGGACUAGACCUCCUAGAGAAAGGCGACACCGACCGAGAGUUAAUACCUGAAGGAGCCUGAACUAGCUUUGGAGUAGACCUUCCUAUAUUAGACUGCACCGCAUCUUUCAGCUGCAUCAAAGAAGGCAGCUGAGAGUUGCGACCGAGCGCAAAGUUAUCACUCUUCUUCCCUUGUUUAGCAGCUUUGCUAUCCAACUGCUUGAUCAGAUCCAUAUUAGAUGCACCAAACUUAGCCAAUCUUAUCUCAGACUUAUCCAACCUAUCUUUAUUCUCCCCCGAGAGACGAGGCACAACGCUGUUCCUUCUGCUCGUCGUCUCGCUUAUCUCAGACACUUUGCUGAGCUUAACAUAACAAGAGUCACACACACGGUACAGUCUCCCCGCGCUAGGAGCCAACGCAGCUCUGAACGCUUUCUUGGAACUGCAUGAAUGACAAUGCACAAGUCCACAGUUGUAACAGUUAUGCCGUUUCCGCGUAAAGCCAAAAGCAAGUCUACAGGAUGAGCACUGAGACUGCUCAGCGCCAGAGACCCAUUUGUGCAGACAUAUAGCUGCAGUGUAGUUUGAUCCGCAAGCAACGUACUUAACGUGUCUGUCUCUCAAAGCUUCCACGAGAGUAGGUACUUUCCGAUCCUCUAAAUCACCGUGUCCUAGUCUCCCAUUAGCUCCUUUACCCCAUGUGUAAACUUCAUUACGAGAAGUUAAGGCUGCAACGUGAUAUGCUCCGCAAGAGAUCUCUUCAACGAACUCGCUCGCGAGCUUGUCCUCAACCAAACACGGUAGCUUCCCGUCUGUCUGCACAUUCCCGAGCUGGCCGUAGACUGUACUCCCCAUGGUAAACACUUGUCCAGAGGUUGUCAACCCAACCGUCAAACUAUGUCCACACGCGAUUUUGUGGAAGUUGUAAUCAAUCAACGCAGGGACACACGUUGGUUUAAGACGAGGGUCUUUAUCACCGUGUCCGAGACGGUUCUUGUCACCAUCACCCCAAGUGAAAAGCUUCCCAGAAGACACAGAGCUCGAGUUUGAUUGUGUGACAAUGAUCUCAACAACAGCAGCAGUGUGCCAAACUCCACACGAAACAGCAAUCGUUCUAAGGCCUGAUAGAGACUCAACUUCUCUCGGAUACUGAACCGUCUCCUUGUCACCGUGUCCCAACACACCAAACGUUCCAUCUCCAAACGUGAAAAGCCUCCCGUGAGAUGUCACCAAAGCGGUAUGCCAAGGUCCACAAGUCACAGAAGCCACGUGGAGUCCUUCGAGAGGACCAGCGAUUCUCUUCGGUAUCCAGUGGCUUACAUCAGAGCCGUGACCUAGAAGGCCAACGUUAUGCGUGCCGUCGCCCCAAGUAUAAAGCUCUCCAGAGAGAGUAACAGCACAAGUGUGGAACUCUCCACAAGCAACAAAGUCACAAGAUGUGAGAGAUUCAACGAGACGUGGGUGAAACACAUCUUUGCCAAUACCAUGACCUAGUCUUCCUCCAGACUCUUCACCCCAAGUGAAAACCUCUCCUUGCCUCGUCACAAACGAAGCGUGCCUUACACCGCACGCGAUUUGAUGAACGUCUAAGACGAUGUUUGACUCUAACGGCUUCGGGACAAGGACGUCCGUUCUCGUGGUUAGGUAACUUGCGUUCUUAUCAAUCCCGAUCUUGACUACAUUGUCGCAUAUAACUUCACCCCAGAUGUACACGUCACCUAGAGCAUCGGAGUCAUCUGCUCCAGAACCGUGACUAGAACUGCUUUGUGCGCUAGAGACACUAACUCGGAAACCAUCUGAACCAGAUACCUUUGUUUGCAUGUUUUUGGUAUCUAAAGCAACAUGUGAUUGCUCAGGCUCAGUGCUCUUGGGAGAAGGAAUUGGAUCGAAGUUAAAAGGAGUCCCAGGAGAGCUGUGACCUUGUGAAGCGCUCGCGGAACUGCUGCUUUGACUGCUAGAUGUCACGUCUCUGCUGGCCUGGAAUAUAUAUACCAUGUCAACAUGGUCAACCAAAGAGUCCACAACAUAUAGUCACAAAGAGUUGCUUGCUUUGAACACUUACAUCAACUGAAAUGUUACCGCCACUCCAGCCAUCAAUCUUUGAGCGACCACCUUGCCCACCUGAUAUUAAUGUUUUAAGACCUCCAAUCCAAACUUCAGCCUCGACCUUGUCCUUACAAAUCUAUUAAGAAGUAAAACUGUUAUGCCUGGAGUUAAUUAUCAAAGUAUCAGUUUCAUGAUGACUAACCAAGUCAAGAGACUUCUUUUUUCCGUUGUAUAAGAGAGAGAAGGAUAAGUAAUCUUUCUCUGGGCGAAGAUAACGCUGGAAAACAGCCUGUUGCAAUAGAUGAUAUGGUCUAUUAGAUAUGCUUGAAAGCCAAGAGGAAUCCUUUUCAUAUAAAGAAAUGAAGAAUGUCUUACAGUUCUUUGCCCAGGUACAAUUUUAGAAACAGAUGCUAAUUUCAGUCGCUUUUCACCACUACUUGAUAUCCAGAUCAGAGAUUUUUCAUCCUGCGCAUAAUAACCAACACCAACGAGUAGUUUUCUCAGAUGAAGAAACUUUCCAAAAAAAUAAUUGCAGAAAGACAAGUUGUUGAGAGCAGAAAGCAACUCACACUAGACAGUCUGAAAGGAUAAAACUUUGGCUUUCCUUUGCGUCCAUAUUUUAGAAGCUGAGUGCCCUUCUUCAAUGUAUUCAAUGCCUGCCAAAUGGGAAAGAAGCGCAUUAGGACACAAGAUUCUAGCUACAAGUAACAUCAUUUGCGACUUGCGACAGCAUAUAUUAAUAAGUUCCAAUGGUCAUUUUACACGAAAGAUCCAAAACAGAACAAGAAUGUGAUGUAUUCACCUAUAGCUUCCUGCUUCUCCAUAACCUAAAUGUUCACUAGAGAACCAGAUUCAAUACACAAGUUAUCUAGGGGAAAGUUCCACCAACAAACCAAAGGAAAAGACACAAGCUAUACUAAGCUGAGGAUUAGGAUCUCAAAGAAAAAAGUAACAGAGACAUGAGAUUUGCUGGAACUAUUACACUUUGAAAAAAAGCAAAACUCCAAAAUUUUCAACUUUGAGCUUCAUACUAUACUAAUCACCCACCUUCAAUCCCUAAAACCUUACUUAACACUUUGAGCUAUUCUACUGCAUAUAACACAAACUAAUCGAAGAAGAUAAGAGAGAGAGACUGACUUGUUCAAGGUUGUGGUCAGCAGCAUUACUGUAGGACACAAGAUCUGCCAUUCAAUGUGAAACAAUCACCAGAACGACACCACCCUCUUCGAUCCUCACCGUUCAUCAUCUAUAACUAUAAUAAACAAAAGCCCCGGAGCUCCUAGCCGCCGUGGAAACCAUCAAUUAAACCACCCGUAACCGUAAUCAGCCAGUUGCAAGCAAACGCAAACGUAAAGCUUAAAACUUUCGAGAUGGGCACUGCUCUUUUUCAGCUUAAUUCACUUCUCAGAUCUAACGAGACUUCUCCUAGAUGGUAAAGACACGAUCUUCAGAAUUUGGCAAGUGCUGCUGCUUCAGUAAGCUUGUGAGAAAGCAGUCAUCUUUUUCGGUGAAACAGAAGGAUGAUCUUACGGGAGAUGACAGUGGUGGUGAGAGAGGAGAACCCGGCGGAGAAAAACGACGGAAAAGCAAAAAGGAAGGAGGAGGAAGACAGGGAAGUCAGAGACAGCGAUGACAAAGGAAGAGAGAGAGUAUAAUACGAAAUUUAAUAUCUUUUUUUUUUUAAUAAAUAAAGGAAACUGUUUCUUUCUUGGUAUAUUAAAUGCUUUAUUCUGUUUUCUUUUGUUUUUCUAUUAAAUAAUUUUUACUUUCUUAAAAAUAUAUAUACCGGAGGAAUCCCUAUGAGAUUAUGAAAAACAAAAAGAGGCGUUCCCCAUGCAUUAGUAUUAGUUACAUUCGAGUAAAUCAAAUUAUAAUCUUAUGAAAGGAUGUUUGGAUUACACUUAUCAACAAGGUUUAUUAGUUUUUUUUUUUUUUUGCAGUCUUGGGAAUGGGGUACAUUGUAUUGGUAUCAAUUUAGAGCUAACUAGACAGACAAUCCACAAGGUCAACCAAAUAUAUUCUCUAUAAUCCUGUUGAGUUUAUAAAAGAAAACAUGUUUGAUUACCUACCUAUUUGCAGCAUUUGUAUAUGAGAAUUUUUGUUUGUUUAAAAUACGAAUAAUAUAUUGACUUCUUGGUUUUAUUCUUUGAUUAAUAUAUAUCUCCAUUUUCUUCUUCUUUAAUCAAUUUAAUAAGUGUUUAUACUAUUUCUUUUAUUUGUGUAAUCCUUUAGAAUUCACAUACAAAGUAAAUAGUUUAGUGGUUAUAAACGAAUGCGAAUGUGAUUUGUUUGAUAGCAAUGCAUAAUUACAUAGGAUCUAGCUCGCCCUCGACGUUGUAAAAGCAAAUCGAAACCUUGGAUUGUAUGAUGCAUGCCCAAGGAUCAAGACACAAAGUUGUAUUUCAAUUUUCCAUGCAGAAUGUAGACUAUAAUAUGCAUAAUAUUUUAUAAAUAUCUUCUUAUGUAUGUUGAAAUGUAAAUUCAUUUUAAAAAAAUGUAAAUUCAUGCCAUUUAGACGAAAUCAAAACAGCAUGUAAGUAUUAUAUUAUAUAGACUAAAAAAUCAACAUCCCUAUAUUUUUCCUCUCUGAUUGGGGAAAAUUGAGUACCUUGAACGGAACAAUAUAUACGCAUAUAAACUGUCUUCUACAAUCUUUGUGAGUAGACCAAUGACAUGCAUUAUAUAAGACGAAUCAUAUUUUAGUUCACAUAAAAAUGUACAGAUGUUGUAGUGAAGUGAAACGUAAAAAAAUCAUUAAACUAUAUAUUUUGUAUAUUCCAUAUCACAAAAAGAGGGGUAAAUAUAUAAUAGUUGAGAUCUAGAGCUAGAAUAUAAUCUUUAUUUUAUGAGAAGUAUAUAUCAAGAAUCAGUAUAAGGUUUUUGGUGGGAAAUCAUGGAAACUAUAAUGCAAGAGGGAAUGCGAUGAUAAAUAAGUAGAUUGUAUGAUUGGACUCUAGAGAAAUAAAAAUAAAAUGAUGAAUAAGGCAAAAGCUUGAGAACAAAUGAAAGUUUUGGUGAACAAAAAAAGAAAAGCUCCAAGGAAACAUGGAUAGCUCUACUUACUUUGUUGGUUGUUGUCGUGCAUGGGCCCUCCUCUCUUCACCUAUGAUAUCUCCACAUUUCCUACUUUAUAGUCAUACACUUGUAAUAUUUAUAUUAAAAGUAUUUGUUUUCAUUUUGUCGUUUUUAUAUAGAUAGCUAUUUAUUUUGUUGUUCAUUUUGUCGUGUUUAUAUAGAUAACUAUUUGUUGACCAAAAAAAAAUAUAUAUAUAACUAUUUAUUUUGUUGUUUUUUUUUUUGGUAAAAUGUUAAGCUUAUUUAUUUUGUUGUUCAUAGUAUAUGAGAGGAGGUAAUAAAAAACCGCGGAGUGGGAUAUUGCAUGUCUUUCAGCAUGUCGCCUUCGGGGAUGAGUUUGGUUUGAUUAGGAUAUUGCUGUUAAGUUAUCUUGUCUUCAGAUUUGGAUUUUGGUUCUAGGUGAGCGUCCUUCUUUAGAUUUUUGAAGAUAGUUUUUGAGCGGACCUCUUUUUUUUUCUUUGAGAGGAAUUAUUCGAGUUUCAGGUAGCCGAAUAAAAUAAUUUUUUAUUUGAUUUUUCAGAACUUAAUCGCUAUUUUAGACAUAUUUGCUAUAUUGUUAAACGAUUUAAGUAUCAAUCGCUUUUGUGUACACAUAUUUUUAUUUCAUUGUAAGACCAAUUUUAGUGGUUUUAUAAUUUGUAACCUCAUGUUGUAAUAUCUCAAUCUUUAUUUCAUGAAAUGAUUUUUACAUUACAAUGAUUUUUACAUUUUUAGAAAUGAAAAUGACUAAUUAGCUUAUCCACACCGUUUCUUCAUUGGGUGAUAUUACAUGACAAAAUCAUAAAUACUACGUAAGCUUCAAAUAUGGUAACAUGCGGAAAUCAACAAAAACGUAUAAAUGCAUAGAUAUGUAAAGAUUUUUGUUAUUAUUAACUGUUGAAAACGAAGCAAAUCACUAGGGGUGGGCAUUUCGGUUUAGUUUCGGGUUCGGUUUGGGUUCGGUUUGGUUUGGGUAAUUUGGGUUUUAUAAAACUCAAACCAAUUAAAACCAAAGUACUUUGGUUUGGGUUUGGUUUGGGUUUAAUUCGGUUCGGUUCAAUUUGGUUUGGUUUAGAUUUAGUUCGGUUUACAUUAUUAUGGUCUAGUUUGGUUCGGUGUAGUUCGGGUUGGUUAUAAAAUAUGAAGGCAUCAGUUUUAUACUUUUAUUAAAAAAUAAUCAACUCAUAAACGAUAGAGUGAGAAUAUAAAAACUUAUGCUACAUGAUUUUAUAUAUAAUAGUAUUAUUUGAAUCGUAUUUAUAAUAUUUUUUUAAAGAUAUGGAAGUUAUGAAAAAAUGAAAAAUGAAACUUUAACUAAAAUUUGCAAUAUGUUAAUGCAUAUAUAUAUAUCAUAUAUAUAUAGUAACUAUAUAUAUAUAUUGGAUUAUCGGUUUGGUUCGGUUUGGUUUGGUUUAAACCCAAACCAAACCAAACCGUUCGGGUUGAGUAAAACAUGAACCAAUUGGGUUACAUAAAGAGCACGGUUUGGUUUGAUUCGGUUUAACUUCGGUUUGGUUGGUUCGGUUUGAUUUUUUUGCCCACCCCUACAAAUCACAAAUACUAAUAUUUUUAAAAACGGAUAUCCGAUCUAUUAUAUACAUAUGUACAUACAUGUAUAUAAAAUUAUAAAAUAUAUAUAAUUUUAUAUCUCUAUAUAAGCUUUAUAAUAUUAUUAUUCACUAAAUUAAUUAUUUAGUUAUUGAUUUUUUUAAAAAGUAUGUAGCUUUUAUAAGUUUUGUAAUAAAAUAUUAUUAUUUAUAUUAUUUUUUAAUUUUUAAAUUCAAAUUAUUUUUAACAGAUCGAAUCGGACAUCCGAUAAAUUAUCUAAAUUUUUCGAUAUCCAAAACACCAAAUAUCCCGAAGAUUACAAAUCGAAUCGAAUCGAAAAUUCAAUUAUUCGUGUGGAGCGUAGCCGGCCCACCCCCUAUUAGAGACGACAUCAAAGUAUCUUCUCGUUUACGCCUGAAGGCCCUGUACAAAUCACCUAUCCGUGAUUCACUUUAAAUUUGGGCCCACGAAAAUCAAGAUCGUAUGGGCCCACGAAAAUCAAACGUUAGUAAAUGGGCCUAGGAACCAAUGAUUUAUCGGCCCGUUAAAUCGGUGAAGAAGAGAGAUCAUAUGUUGUUGGUACGGAUCGGGUCCAGAAACAAGGAUCGGGUCAUCAAGAUCCUGAUCUUUAAACUCCGUGCGAAGAAAGAAAUCAGAAACUGAAAUGAAGGAGGGAUUGAGACAUGGGGACACGAUUCAAACCACGUAUAGCUUCGUGAGUUCCUGUUUCUGUCGACUUCCAUGGCGGAAGGGUACUGGAACUAGCAGCAACAUCCUCCAAAUGGUCCACCAAAACGUCACCGUUCCGAUUAUGGUAAUCUCCUUUCUCUUACUCUCGCUCGCUGUCUCUCUCUCUAGAUAGCUAGAAGAAUCACAAUACGUAGGAGACAAGGAACACAUGUGAAUAGUUAUGCUCGUAGUAGUUGACGUAGAAGUAGCUUUUGCUUGUCCAUAAUCAUUAUAGUUGCAGAUUCUGCAUUCUUUUUUGUCUACUUCGUCUGUUUCGAUUUCAUUAACAUGUGAAAAGAGUGAACUCGCUAUGUGUUAAAACGGAUGCGAAAAGAUAAUGCGGAAAAUAGAUGAAUUAACUCGGAAAUUUAACAUGUUUCACCAAAUUAACACGGACAAAGAGAUCUUUAUUAUUAGAAGCGAUUUCAGAGUGUAUACAAGAAUACAAGAUAUAUAUAAGAGUAUCUCUCAUUUUAAAACCCUAGUGCUGACGAUUCGCGGGUUUAGGCUUAGGCCUCAGCAGCGUUAAGAAACUCUUCCAUGUUUCUCAUGAUAUAUUUUGAUAAUUAAAUAAUAUUCUCCACUAAAAAGAUGACACAUGUGGCAAAAGUCUCUCGUAGAAAAACGAUAGUCCCUCAGCGAAGAGAUGCUGCUCCCCUUCUCUCUUCCUUGUUUUUGUAAUUUGUACAUUCAUCAUUUUUAGUUAAGAGACUGGCUAAGAUACUAUACGAUGCACAUGCCCUUACCAAGUCAGACUAAAUUUAAUGCAUAUCAAGUUAUCAACAUUUUGUUUUAUGUUUUUGUUCGUGCUUGAGAAGCUACACCACCCAUGAGAUGCACGGUGGUUACAUCCUGCGGGAUGAGGAUCUCGAUGUUUGGAUACAAAAACUAUUGGAUCAGCAAUCAGCUUAUGAUCGAAGCCUCCAAAUCGUGGUACUAUUCUUUAUACUGAUUCAUCAUGCAUCUUUCUCGCUUUAUUGACCUGUAUCUUUUUCUUUUUGAAGCAAACGUCACCUUCUAUAUAUGCCAUCAAGUCAAGUAGGUCCUCCUAAUGUUUUUGCCAUGGACGAGUUUAUGUUGAGACGUCGUGGAUUUCUCCCUCCGAAUGGUCGGGAUAUGGGUUUUGAUCCAUUGGACUCUGUUGAUAGGCGUAACCGUGAACCACUUCCUCUAUGACUAAUAAUUUCAAUAAAACAAUAUUUGCUAUGCUUUCUUUGUAAGUGGUAAUUGUUUUACUUUUCUUUCUCAAUUCAUAUGUUUGACUUUGUAUUCCUCUCCUUUAUGAAGACGUGUUUUGGGGUGCUGUAGUCGGUGACGACUUGUGAUACUUGAGAUAAGUUUUAGUGGAUUAUUUAUUUCAAUCAUUUUGUGGUUUAUGUAAUGUCAUCUUGUUAAAUUCCGUGUCUGAAUGUGUAUAACUUUCUGUAUCAAAAAAAGAGACGUGAUUGCUUUCAGAUUCAUGUUCUGAUCGUAACUGUAUGAUUCAUUGUACUCAGAAUAUAUCAUGCCUUUCUGUUAGUAAAUCAUUUUUAGCCUAAAUAAAUAAGAUCUCAGAUCUAAUUAUAUGUAUAUGAAACUAAAGUUUCAUGGUUAAAAUUUUUCUAUAAAAAAAAUUCAACUUCCAAUAUGCGUAUUUAAAUUUUAGUAGUGAUGCAUGGACAACACUCAAUCUCAUUAUAAAACUCUAGUGAUGAAUGAAUAUUGUUUUCAACGGGUUCAUAAAAUGCACAUUGUUAGAAUGUAGCAUAAGAUAAAUGGAAAAUCCUUGAUAUACAAACAUUAUUAGUCCUAAAAAAAUCUGUUUUAAAUUAUUUCCACAGCUAAUCAUAAUGUCAUUCCUUCACUUAACUUUUCAUUGGACAUGCCACACAUCACCUAUAAGGCUAUAAUAGCUGCAUUUCUUUCACUAUUUUUUUUUUGUUUAACCGGCAAAAACGGCUUAACUUUUCUAUUAAUGAAUUUCUUAACGAACCUAAAACAUAUCAUUCCUUGGAUAAUAAAACAAUGAACAAGUAAUUUAAAUUUUAGCUAUACGUAGGAUGAAAAUUCCCCUUUAUUUUGUAAUGUUCUGGAAUCAAUGUUAUGCGGUUUCCAAUUAUGCUAUCCAUCUUUCUUAAACUUGGAAUAAAUUAAUGGGAUAAAAAUGUAAGCAUAAGUUAUAACUUAUAAGAUUAAUCUAUGUUAUCUGAAUAACAAACCUUAUUUUCCGUAAACCAAAAAUAAAUCUAUUGGGUCUUGGUCCAAUGUUCGGUACGUAGUCAGUACCUACUAAAUGUAUAGAUGUAGUGCAUUUCAAUAUUUCAUUAUCAACGAGUCAUUUUUGAACUUACUUAACAAAUUUAAAGCUUACAUAAUAUACAAAUGACAAAUUUGCUACAACAAGCUAAUUUCAUCAUGGUUCAGAUCCGAGUUCUAUAGAGUUUUUUAGGUUGCAAAUAGCUUAUUACAACAAGCUAUAAAUGUCAUAAUGGUGCAGGUCAUCACUGCCUGACAUAGUCUAAUGCAUUUUCUAAAUCUAUUUGGUUUCGCUAGCUAAUCCUUACAGUGUUCGUUCCUACCUAUGAAUUCGUUUCAACCCAUAAAUGUUUUGAUCUUUUGUUGUAACAUAUAUUUAAUACAUGCAAAUCAGCACAUAUAUUGAAGCAUGAUACCCAUAAUAAUUGAAAAGCUUUUAAACAAACUUGUUGAGCGUUUAGUACUUCUACCAAAAGAUAAAUUCUUAUUUACAGCUUAAAAUAAUAAAUUUAUAAUUUAUGUUUUCUGAAUGAAUUAAAGCAUAGUCCCUAAUUCAACAUGCAUGGAUCAAGAGACGAACGUUAAUUUAGUAUUCUGCGGUUGGCUUGGACUUUUGAAUCACCAAAUUUUUGCAUUUACUUAAAUACUUUAUCCAGUUGUGCACCCACACUACUAACAACUAUUUUUAUUUAAUUUUGGAAUGUACACAUAAUCACAUAUAUACUGCAACUAAUGCAACUUUCAAAUUGUUAAGUUUAAUUUUAUGCGGGAACCAAAUCUAGUAAGAACAUAUGUUUCAACAAAAAUAGAACAUAAAUUUCAUUAAGAACUUGAAAUCAGAAUGACAAAAUCUCUUGCAGCUAUGUUUUCAAACGAACUAAAUAGUUUCUACGUAUACAUCAUCAGCUAGUACCACGUUUGAAUAACAAAGCAUAACUAGUUUAUAGCUUAACCCUUGUUCUAGAAAAUUAGCUUAAACCAAUUUACUAAUGACGGUGAUUAUAUUAAAGCUUUUUUGACGUCAAUUUCUCCCAUCAUCAAAAUUGUCAAAAUUAGUUAGAUAACUUUUGACGCCUAACCAAAAUAGUCGUCAACCUUUUAGAAAAUACUAUAUAGAAUGUUAAGUUGUUGAUUUGUCUAAAUCCUAAUCCAGCUGGUUACUUACCCAUUUGAUAAAAAUCAAAUCAAUAACCCCAAUUAUAUUCUAUUAUCCUAAAUGUUUUAUUUUCUAAUGUUGACCAAGCUUCGGCUACACUUUUUUUUUUUAUAACUUAUUUCAAGAAGAAAAUUGUCAUCGAGUUGGAUUAUCUUCACCUUUUAUUUAACACCGGUUAGUGAUAAUGUUAUUAUUUCUAUUCUGAUAAACACUAUAUAUAUAUAUUAAGAUACAAUGUAUGUACGUUAUAUAUUUUCUCAGUGAGUGGUUUACAUCAUUCCAAAGGGUAAGCAUAUAUAUCUCUUCUCAAAUGCUAUUAAAUUUUGAUUUCUGAGUAUGAACUGUUAUACUUCUUGUAUAUAUUGUAAACAUAAUUUAGAUUUCAUAAUGUGACUAAGUAAUAGUUAAAGUAAUAACCUAAGAUGUUAUAUAAUAAUCGGAGUAAUGACAAGAAACGUGUUAAAAUAAAACAAUGAACGUGUGAAGCAACAUCACAACCCGUCAAUGCUCCUUCUACAUUCAACUUGGCCACCUAUCCUUAACGCGUUUCUUCUUCAUCAUAUUUUUGCCCAAACAGAAAUCAAAGAUUAACAAAACAAGAAUAUUAAUGUAUUUGAACAAAAAUAAUAAUAAUAGGAAACCCCUUUGACAAAAAAAAACUAAUGUAUUUGAACAAUCUAGUUAUUAGUUACGGAAAAACAAAGAAAACUUGAUUUAUAAUUAUAAGUUUGCGAUGAACAUGUAACUAACAAAAUAGUGGCCACACUUCUUAAAAAAUUUAAACACAUAAGUUUGGGUUCUUGAUGAAAUCAAAACAUAGCAGUACCAAAUUUAUUAAUAAAAGAUAUAUUAAAAGAGGAGAGAAACCUACAAAACAAAUAGAGAAAACUUGAAACAAAUAUAGUUAUCUAUAAAAUAUAAUUAUUUAAUUAAUUAAAGUUAUUACUCCAUCGGAAAUAUUCUGAAAAUGUAUAUUAGUCUUAUUUUAAUUAUGUUUUUUAAUUAAUAAAUUUAGCAUCACAAAAAUACAAAUAUCCCAAUUAAAAUAUAGAGUAAAUUAGCUCAAUAUACAAAAAGAAGUGAGAUACCAUAGAGUUGAGGGAAAAAGGUGAUGAUGGGGGGAAAAAAAAUGGGGGGAAAUAGGGUAUGGAGUGCAAAUAGGGAAUAUGUUGUGUGUAGGGAGUACAAAUUCUCUAAAAUAUAGUGGUUUUAUCAGAUAGCAUGAUGCCAAUUCUCCUGAAAUGUUUUGAUAAAGUACAAGUAUCACAAUAGCUUAUAUUACUGUUAUAGAUGUGUAUAUUUAGAAUCAAAUUCGUAUAUUGCAUAUUAUGAAUAUAAAAAUAUUUGAUAAAAUAAAUUGAAAUAAAGUAUUUUCAUUUCCUGGUAAAUGGACUCAGUUACAUUUACCACACUCAUAUAUUUUCAUAUUUUGAUCUUCUUUGAUCGGCCAUAUUUUUGUGAUUCCCUCUUAUAUCUUAUGAAAAGUUCUGUUAGCUUUAGAUUCAGUGUUCUAUGUAUUAAUUAUAAUUUGAUAUGCUCGGAACAUGCAGAACAUAUCAAUCAACAACUACCAAAAUAAUUGAAGGGCAGAGAAAAUCGAUAAUGAAAGGCUGACUGAGACCAAACCUCAUAUUUUUCUUUGUAUUACAUAGUCAACUAUAUUGUGUUUUACAUAUAAUAAGAAUGCCUUUUACCAUCAGAGGUGAAAGUUUGUUUCUAUAUAAAGGGUGAUUAGGGGAGACAUUCAGAGCAUCAAACACAAACAGAAACACAUAACAAAAUGAGAUCGCCAAUGGCCUCUUUGGCAGCAACUUUGCUUGUCUUAGCAUUAUCUCUUGGUUUUGUAUCUGAAACCACCGCAAAUUACUAUUACUCUUCUCCUCCUCCACCGGUGAAGCACUACACUCCUCCGGUUUACAAAUCUCCACCACCACUUAUUAAACACUAUCCAGCUCCUCCAGUUUACAAAUCUCCCCCACCACCCAAGAAGCAAUACGAAUACAAAUCACCUCCACCACCGGUAAAGCAUUACUCCCCUCGACCGGUUUACAAGUCUCCUCCACCACCGAAGAAGCACUACGAGUACAAAUCACCACCACCACCUGUCUACAAAUCUCCCCCUCCUCCAGUGUACCACUCUCCUCCACCACCAAAGAAGCACUACGAGUACAAAUCACCACCGCCACCGGUCCACCAGUCUCCUCCUCCUCCAGUUUACCACUCUCCUCCACCACCUAAAAAACACUACGAGUACAAAUCACCACCACCACCUGUCUACCAGUCUCCCCCUACUCCAGUGUACCACUCUCCUCCACCACCAAAGAAGCACUACGAGUACAAAUCACCACCACCACCUGUUUACCAGUCUCCUCCUCCUCCAGUGUACCACUCUCCACCACCACCAAAGGAGCACUACGAGUACAAAUCACCACCACCACCUGUCUACCAGUCUCCUCCUCCUCCAGUUUACCACUCUCCACCACCACCAAAGAAGCACUACGAGUACAAAUCACCACCACCACCGGUCUACCAGUCUCCUCCUCCUCCAGUGUACCACUCUCCACCACCACCAAAGAAGCACUACGAAUACAAAUCACCACCACCACCUGUCUACCAGUCUCCUCCUCCUCCAGUGUACCACUCUCCACCACCACCAAAGGAGCACUACGAGUACAAAUCACCACCACCACCGGUCUACCAGUCUCCUCCUCCUCCAGUGUACCACUCUCCACCACCACCAAAGAAGCACUACGAGUACAAAUCACCACCACCACCGGUCUACCAGUCUCCUCCUCCUCCGGCCUACCACUCUCCUCCACCACCAAAGAAGCACUACGAGUACAAAUCACCACCACCACCGGUCUACCAGUCUCCUCCUCCUCCGGCCUACCACUCUCCUCCACCACCAAAGAAGCACUACGAGUACAAAUCACCACCACCACCAGUCUACCAGUCUCCUCCUCCUCCAGUUUACCACUCUCCUCCACCACCAAAGAAGCAUUAUGAGUACAAAUCUCCUCCUCCUCCAGUUUACCAGUCUCCCCCACCUCCAGUUUACCACUCUCCUCCACCACCCAAGAAGCAUUAUGAGUACAAAUCUCCUCCUCCUCCAGUUUACCAGUCUCCCCCACCUCCAGUUUACCACUCUCCUCCACCACCCAAGAAGCAUUAUGAGUACAAAUCUCCUCCUCCUCCAGUUUAUCAGUCUCCUCCUCCUCCGGUUUACCACUCUCCCCCACCACCAAAACACUAUGAAUACAAAUCUCCUCCUCCUCCCGUCCACUCUCCUCCGCCACCGGUUCACUACUCACCUCCACACCAACCCUACCUCUACAAAUCUCCACCUCCUCCAUACCACUACUAAUUAAUCAUCUUCAUGG